GCGUCGGUCAUGCAAUGGUUAGCAUACGCUCCCGGAAAGAGUGAGAUCUGGGUUUGAAUCUCAGCUGACGCA